GACGAACGCUGGCGGCGUGCUUAACACAUGCAAGUCGAACGGAAAGGCUCCUUUGGGGGUACUCGAGUGGCGAACGGGUGAGUAACCCGUGAGUAACCUGCCCUUGACUUCGGGAUAACUUCAGGAAACUGGGGCUAAUACAGGAUAGGAAUCCUUGCUGCAUGGUGGGGGUUGGAAAGCUUCGGCGGUUUUGGAUGGACUCGCGGCUUAUCCGCUUGUUGGUGGGGUAGUGGCUUACCAAGGCUUUGACGGGUAGCCGGCCUGAGAGGGAGACCGGUCACAUUGGGACUUAGAUACGGCCCAGACUCCUACGGGAGGCAGCAGUGGGGAAUAUUGCACAAUGGGCGGAAGCCUGAGGCAGCAACGCCGCGGGCGGGAUGACGGCCUUCGGGUUGUAAGCCGCUUUCAGCAGGGGCGAAGCUUGUGGUGACGGUACCUGCAGAAGAAGCACCGGCUAACUACGUG
rnacentral:rRNA from 1 species